rnacentral:rRNA from 1 species
GAUGAACGCUGGCGGCGUGCCUAAUACAUGCAAGUCGAGCGAACGGACGAGAAGCUUGCUUCUCUGAUGUUAGCGGCGGACGGGUGAGUAACACGUGGAUAACCUACCUAUAAGACUGGGAUAACUUCGGGAAACCGGAGCUAAUACCGGAUAAUAUUUUGAACCGCAUGGUUCAAAAGUGUAAGACGGUCUUGCUGUCACUUAUAGAUGGAUCCGCGCUGCAUUAGCUAGUUGGUAAGGUAACGGCUUACCAAGGCAACGAUGCAUAGCCGACCUGAGAGGGUGAUCGGCCACACUGGAACUGAGACACGGUCCAGACUCCUACGGGAGGCAGCGGUAGGGAAUCUUCCGCAAUGGGCGAAAGCCUGACGGAGCAACGCCGCGUGAGUGAUGAAGGUCUUCGGAUCGUAAAACUCUGUUAUUAGGGAAGAACAUAUGUGUAAGUAACUGUGCACAUCUUGACGGUACCUAAUCAGAAAGCCACGGCUAACUACGUG